ensembl:lncRNA
AAUCCCUAAUAUGCCCAGUACUCUCCCCACUGGAAGUCAUGACUAUCUGAGGAUCAUGUGAUUACUUAGAAAAGACCAAGAUGUAGGUAGGACAUUUCACGUUUAAGGACAUUUCAUUAUCCUUGUGAAUUCAAGAGGUUCUACGGGAGAGAAGAAUCUCACUGCUCAUGUUCAAGACAGAGUCAAUUUUGACCUAUAUUCAUGUAAGCAUCAGAAGGAGGCCCUUUCCUAAGUGUACACCAUGUAAAGCAUAAAUGCUUAUCUUUUCAAUAGCCAUGUAUUAUUUUACGGUGUCUGUGUCUCUGACAAUCACAGAAGCUUAGAAGUGGAGAAUAAUAUUGUCCUUGUUUUUGAAAGCUUAAGCUAAUCGAGUUGUAUUUGUAAAAUGGAAGACUAAUUCCCUGUCAGGUAAUGAAAGCCCACAGGAUAGGUCCCCCUUAAUAGUAGAAUGACUAACGUGAUAAUACACAGAUGUGUCUGUCUCAGAGUAACUAUCAAACUCUCAGGAGUCAAUGGGGAGUAGGAGAGAAUUCUAACGUGUCAUAAUCUCCCCUUACUAUUGGAAUGGGGACAAUGGGCAUCUCCUUUACCUGCUUCAGGUAUACCUGAAGAGACUUCAGUUAGUAAAACCUUCCUUGCAUCUCUGCAUUGCUCCAUCUGCCCCUCCCCACUGAAGGAGGAAUCAACUGUCUGGCAAAUCUGGAAACAGGAACAGCCACCAAAGCAAACCUCACCUCAUUCUUGUUGGGAUAUGCCUGUGUCUGGUCUCCGCUCCACCAUGGGUUACAGGACUUUCCCCCUGAGAAGGAGACCUGCUAUUUCAGAGAGACAACUUUACUAGACAGGUUUCCCAAGUGAUGCAACCUGACGAGUUCUCCAAUCUGUAGAUGCCACUCAUCUUUACUGCAAUUAACUGCGGUCAAGCACUGAAAUGCCGGGCAACUAUGCUCUCUGAGAGAAUCAUCUUCUCUGUGACCUGGUUCUGCCUUAGGAAAGAGAAGCUGACUCUCAGAAUCUUACAGGAACAAUUACACUCACAGAGGCUCUGGAUUUUGCAUUUCUACAAGACAUGGUUUGACUAUAUGGCAUAGGGUAGUGCUUACCUCAGGGUCCUGGUGGAGCGCCUGGCAUACUGAUUAGGACACUUCGCAGGGAUUCAGCAUCUCCUCCAGCCUCUUACAGGCCUCUGUCUUUGGAACACCUGCAGACUUUGGUUUAGAAAAGCACAGUGAUUAGCCCCCAGUGUCCUUUUCCGGCAGAGCUUUACUUAAUUAACCCUCUCAUAAUGUUUGCCUUAUAAUAUUGGCCUGAUCCUCACUCCUCCCGACUCAGAGGAGACAGUAAAUGAAGAGACAACAGUGCUUUGAGACCUCCCUGUGGCCAUUUCUUCAUGCAGGCCUACAGGGCUCUUCCUAAUCUUCGCAAUCCCUGAGAAUCCAAUUUCCAUGACAUGUCCCUGGAAAUCCUUCGUAGUCCCAAAAUAGCUCACCAUUUCUCAGAAAAAUCUAAAACAUUGGUUAUUCUAUUUUUAAAAACUUUUUACCGUAACAUACAAUACAUGCAUACAAAAAAAAAAAAAAACCCACACAAAAUGCAUUGCUUAGUCAGUUAUUAGAAGGUAUACCCAAACCAACCCACCAAGCACAAUUCAGGUCAAGAAAGAGCACUUUGUCAGCUAACACAGGAGUCUCUCAUAUACCCUGACCCAAACAUUACCACUAAUCCCAUCUUUAUAAUCACUUCUUUAUAGUUCUAUUCCCCAAGUGUGCGUCCUUAUGGUCCAUAGUUUAAUCUCCCAGUUUAAAAAUGUGUCAUGUCUUUUAAGUCUAUUUUAAUCUACAGGUUCCCUCUACAUCUCUUUCAUUUCCUUGUAUCUGGUGAAAAAAACGGGGUCAUUUUGCUUGUAGAGUUUCUCACCAUCAAGGUUUUGCUGAUUACAUACUCCUGGUAGAGUUCAACAUCUUCUGCCCUCUGCAUUUCUUGCAAAUUAGCAGCUGAAUCCAGAAGACUGAUACAUUUCAUGUUCAAUCACUUUGGCAAGACUAGAGGUGGCAUAAUGCUGUUUUGUCAUGAGGCACAACAUGUGUGUGU